ACAUCGACGGCGUGGGCAACCGCGAGCAGCGCAUCGACCUGUGGUUCGACCCCACCACCGACUUCCACACCUACGCCGUGCUCUGGAACCCCAGCCAGGUGGUGUUCAUGGUCGACGACACCCCCAUCCGCGUCUACGAGAACACGUCCUCCCGCCACGUCCACGGCCACCACCGCCACGCCGCCAACACCAGCACCACCGACUCAUCGCCGCCGCCGUUCCCGGGGCCGCAGCCGAUGGCGGUGUACAGCUCGAUCUGGAACGCGGACGACUGGGCGACGCAGGGCGGGCGCGUGAAGACGGACUGGUCGCACGCGCCGUUCGAGGCCACGUUCCGGGAGGUGCGCGUGGACGGCUGCGUGUGGGCGGGCAACGCCACCGACUGGGACGGCGGCGAGGUGUCCCGCUGCACCGGGUCGUCGUGGGGCAAGGAGGGCCGGUACUGGUGGAAGGAGAAGGAGAUGUCGGAGCUGAGCGUGCACCAGAGCCACCAGCUCGUGUGGGCGCGCGCGCACCACCUCGUCUACGACUACUGCGUCGACACCGACCGCUUCCCCGUCCAGCCGCCCGAGUGCGCCGGGCGCUGAUCGGAGGCUGAUCUGAUGGAUCAUAUCAUCUUCUUCGCUGGGUUGUCGAUCGAUUAUCAUCGAUGGGGUCAUGGAACUGCUGGUUUCCUUUCACCUCUCUGGCUUCUUGCGCUUGGGAAUGCAGCAAUGGCUGUCUGUACUCUGUAGUGAGGCUUUGCAUUGGCUGCCGUGUGUGUGGUGAUUCUCGGGGUGGGUUGCGUCAGUGGAGGUGUCUUUUGUAAAAACAUGUUGAUGAUGGGAAUGAAC
rnacentral:lncRNA from 1 species